GCUUCUCUUCAUUCUUACCUAGUGCUGGGCAUGAUGUCGCCUAAACCCACCUGCUGUGUAUGAUCAUCCCAGCUGAUCCAGGCUCUAUACACCGCUUACUGAUUUCCUGGGGAGGUUGUAGGUUUGAACUUGCAAGCGCCUUACAGAAGCACAAAUAUGGGGAAAAAAUACAGUGCAAAGGGGUGACACAUGUCAUACAGUAAAGUGACAGUGUGGUCUCGGACCUCCCACCUAAGUCCAAGCAGCGCUCCCUCAUUUGUGAUGUCACUGAGAGGCUCACCUCACAGUCCUACUAGAAGCCCAUGAUGAUUCUUCACAAGCUGUUCUCACCGUCUCUGUAGCACGGAUUCUGUAGCCACUACCACUGGAAAGAGAGUGCAGAGAGAGCACUUAACCUUGACAUCAAGAUGUCUUGCCAAUACAGAUCCUUGGCAUCUCUAAGGUAAGGUGUAAGUCUUAAGCCACAUUUUACUCCAGUACACUAACCAAUGCGUGGCAAAUCUUAUGAGAAAUACCCAGGGAGUCCUGGAACAUGACUCUGACCCAGCUGACUGUCCUACCACAAUCCCUCAAAGUCACAGCAGAGAGUUCAAGAAAAAGCUUGAGAAAGAUACAAAAGAUUAAGAAUGUCAUGGUGUAUCUGGAGGUAAUUUAGUGCAAAAUACCAAUAUUAAUCCAAAAGAAAAGAACAAAGCUUGACUUCAAAAGCACCCACACUUUCAGAGUCCAUUGGAGAAAUGAACUGGAUAACUAUAAGACAGUCUUUCUCUUUAUUUCCAGGAAACAUUACUAGAAUUAAAUCACGGUCUCCUAAUGAUAAACCCAGACCA